rnacentral:misc_RNA from 1 species
ACAUCUCAACUCUCACGGUUUCCUGUGAUGAGAUUGGACUUUGGGGGUCUUGUUGGCUUGUGUUCAGCUCCCCUCAAAUCUAUCAGCUUCCCAGUGUUUGGCAGCAUCACAGGUGUGAUAAAUAUCUACGCUUGUGGUUCUUUGCCAGGUCUGUCCUCUCCUUGCAGAGGGCUCACUGGAGCUCAUAGAUGUCUCUCCUUAGUGGAGACAGCUGUUUGAA